ACAAAUAUAAUAGUCAGUGGUGGGAUUCAAAUAAUUUAACAACCGGUUCCUGCCCUAAUGACUUUUUCCAACAAUCAGUUCACAAAACGGCUGAGAAAGUUAACAACCGGUUCUCCCAAAGUGGUGCAAACUGGCUGAAUCCCA